rnacentral:rRNA from 1 species
ACAGCAGCCGCCGCGGUAAUACAGAGGGUGCGAGCGUUAAUCGGAUUUACUGGGCGUAAAGCGUGCGUAGGCGGCUUCUUAAGUCGGAUGUGAAAUCCCUGAGCUUAACUUAGGAAUUGCAUUAGAUACUGGGAAGCUAGAGUAUGGGAGAGGAUGGUAGAAUUCCAGGUGUAGCGGUGAAAUGCGUAGAGAUCUGGAGGAAUACCGAUGGCGAAGGCAGCCAUCUGGCCUAAUACUGACGCUGAGGUACGAAAGCAUGGGGAGCAAACAGGAUUAGAUACCCCUGUAGUCCCUGUCUCUUAUAC